UUGAUACUGUAGAGCUAGGAUUAGGUUGCUGUGGGCGGAAUGUGUGGUGUAGCGGUGAAAUGCUUAAAGAUCACACAGAAUAUCGAUUGCGAAGGCAGCUCACAAAGCCUAAAUUGACGCUGAGGCACGAAAGUGUGGGGAUCGAACAGGAUUAGAUACCCUGGUAGUCCGCACUGUAAACGAUGAUAACUCGCUGUCGGCGAUAUACAGUCGGUGGCCAAGCGAAAGCGAUAAGUUAUCCACCUGGGGAGUACGACCGCAAGGUUGAAACUCAAAGGAAUUGACGGGGGCCCGCACAAGCGGAGGAACAUGUGGUUUAAUUCUAUGAUACGCGAGGAACCUUACCCGGGCUCGAACGGUGCAUGAAUGUCAUAGAGAUUUGACAGUCCUUCCGGGACAUGUAUCGAGGUGCUGCAUGGUUGUCGUCAGCUCGUGCCGUGAGGUGUCGGCUUAAUGUGCCAUAACGAGCGCAAU
rnacentral:rRNA from 1 species